rnacentral:misc_RNA from 1 species
GAUGAAGAACGUAGCGAAAUGCGAUACGUAAUGUGAAUUGCAGAAUUCAGUGAAUCAUCGAAUCUUUGAACGCAUAUUGCGCUCUCUGGUAUUCCGGAGAGCAUGCUUGUUUGAGUAUCAGUAAACACCUCAACUUCCAUAUCUUUUUUGAAAUGGGAGUUGGACUUGAGUGAUCCCAACGCUUUUCCUCACCGAAAAGUGGCGGGUUACUUGAAAUGCAGGUGCAGCUGGACUUUUCUCUGAGCUAUAAGCAUAUCGAUUUAGUCUGCCUAAAAAACAGAUUAUUACCUUUGCUGCAGCUAACAUAAAGGAGAUUAGUUCUUGUGCUGACUGAUGCAGGAUUCACAAAGACAGGCUUCGGCCGACUUUGUAAACUCGAUCUCAAAUCAAGUAAGACUACCCGCUGAACUUAAGCAUAUCAAUAAGCGGAGGA